rnacentral:tRNA from 1 species
GCGGGAGUUACCGAGCGGCCAAAGGUGAUGGACUCAAGAUCCAUUCGUGUAGACGUUCAAGGGUUCGAAUCCCUUCUCCCGCA